GACGAACGCUGGCGGCGUGCCUAAUACAUGCAAGUAGAACGCUGAAGGAGGAGCUUGCUUCUCUGGAUGAGUUGCGAACGGGUGAGUAACGCGUAGGUAACCUGCCUGGUAGCGGGGGAUAACUAUUGGAAACGAUAGCUAAUACCGCAUAAUAGUAGAUGUUGCAUGACAUUUGCUUAAAAGGUGCAAUUGCAUCACUACCAGAUGGACCUGCGUUGUAUUAGCUAGUUGGUGGGGUAACGGCUCACCAAGGCGACGAUACAUAGCCGACCUGAGAGGGUGAUCGGCCACACUGGGACUGAGACACGGCCCAGACUCCUAUGGGAGGCAGCAGUAGGGAAUCUUCGGCAAUGGACGGAAGUCUGACCGAGCAACGCCGCGUGAGUGAAGAAGGGUGUCGGAUCGUAAAGCUCUGUUGUAAGAGAAGAACGAGUGUGAGAGUGGAAAGUUCACACUGUGACGGUAUCUUACCAGAAAGGGACGGCUAACUACGUG
rnacentral:rRNA from 1 species